GGGGGGGGGGGGGGGGGGGGGGGGGAGGGGGGGGUCGGGGGGGCGGGCGGGGGGCGGGCUGCUGUGGUGUUGGCGGCGGACGGGGGAUUACCACGUGGGUAGGCUGCCUGUAGGACUGGGAGAACGUCGGGGGGCCGGGGAUAGUACCGAGUGAUAUUUUUAGCCGCCUUGUUCAGAAGUGAAAGACGGUCUUUCUGUCACUUAGAGAUGGAGUCGCGCUCUAUUAGCUUGGUGGUGAGGUAGUGUCUUACCGAGGCGGUGACGGGUAGCCGGCCUGGGAGGGUGGACGGUCACACUGGGACUGAGACACGGCCCAGACUCCUACGGGAGGCAGCAGGGGGGAAUAUUGCACAAUGGGCGCAAGCCUGAUGCAGCGACGCCGCGUGAGGGAUGGAGGCCUUCGGGUUGUGAACCUCUUUCGCCAGUGAAGCAGGCCUGCCUCGUUUGUGGGUGGGUUGACGGUAGCUGGAUAAGAAGCGCCGGCUAACUACGUG
rnacentral:rRNA from 1 species